rnacentral:rRNA from 1 species
GUUAGGAAUAUUGGACAAUGGGCGCAAGCCUGAUCCAGCCAUGCCGCGUGAGUGAUGAAGGCCUUCGGGUUGUAAAGCUCUUUAGUCCACGAAUAUAAUGACUGUAGUGGAAGAAUAAGCCCCGGCUAACUUCGUGCCAGCAGCCGCGGUAAUACGAAGGGGGCGAGCGUUAUUCGGAAUCACUGGGCGUAAAGCGUGCGUAGGCUGUUUUGUAAGUCAGAAGUGAAAGCCCAGGGCUUAACCCUGGAAUUGCUUUUGAAACUACAAGACUCGAAUUCGGGAGAGGAUAGCGGAAUUGUCAGUGUAGCAGUGAAAUGCGUAGAUAUUGACAGGAACACCAGUGGCGCAAGCGGCUAUCUGGACCGAUAUUGACGCUGAGGCACGAAAGCGUGGGGAGCAAACAGGAUUAGAAACCCCUGUAGUCC